GACGAACCGUCCAAACGUUAUUCGGAAUUACUGGGCUUAAAGGGUGCGUAGGUGGGCAGUUAAGUCAGUGGUGAAAUCUCCGGGCUCAACCCGGAAACUGCCAUUGAUACUAUCUGUCUUGAAUAUCGUGGAGGUAAGCGGAAUAUGUCAUGUAGCGGUGAAAUGCUUAGAUAUGAACAUAGAACACCAAUUGCGAAGGCAGCUUACUAACCCGAAUAUUGACACUGAGGCACGAAAGCGUGGGGAUCAAACAGG
rnacentral:rRNA from 1 species